GUCCUUGGUGAACCAAUGGCUUUGUUUUAACAGUGGGAAGGUCUUUAAUCCAUCUUCUGGUAAACAUUCUAAGCUGGUAGCAAAUGGUUAUCACCACAGGAAAAACAAGCCUUUUUUUUUUUAAUUCCCUCUGCUCAUUUGCUCUGGGCAAAUUACCCUGUUUUUCCUGAGUUCAGAUCUUUUGCAAUCAUGUUGAUUUUAUCUUGUGUUUAUUAUUUUCCCUGGUUCCUGGGGUCUGACCUGGGAAGACCGUCCUGAUCUAGGAGAGGACGCUCAUCACCGCAAUCUUCACCUUACCUUUGGAUACAUUUUGUACCUGAGAUACUAGUGAGUGAAGCAGGGUGUGACAAACUCUCUGAAAGCUCUAGGAGAGAGCACAUGGAACUCCCACACAAGCCAGCAGGAAACUGCAGAGCCUAGGAGAAAAUCUGGAAUUGUGGUGUCCUGCAAAAACUUCAUAUCUUGUUUCCUCCCUCAACUCUUUGGAACAGUUCUUCAGAGCUGUCUAACAGGCUCUCCCAUGGGGUUUGGUCCUCGUGCUCUGGAACCAAAUCUGCAAUAUCUCUGAGGUAUGUCUGUACAUUUUCCCCUUGUUAGAGAUGUCUUAGCUAUGUUAUUCAGAAGUUAGCUUUGCUAACUUUUCUAUUUCACAAGUGGCCCUUAUCAAGACAGGCCUUAAAUGAAGUAAUAUUGUAACAGCUGAAAAGAAAAAACAAAACCAACCAACCAACCAAAUCCUCAAAACUGGGGAAUGUUUACAGAAGGUU
rnacentral:lncRNA from 1 species